AAUCUAGGGCCUCGAGAGUGACAGGCAAGUGCUCUACCCCUGAGCUCUGUCCUCAAGCCCUUCAAUGUGAGUUUAGAGCUUAGGCCCCAAACUCAAAGUGCUUAAGAGACAGGGAUGUGUGUUUUCUACUUCUGACCACAAUCUCCCUUGGGCGCCUGCUCAAGCUCUUACUCGACGCUGUAUCUCGCUGUAUCUCGGUUGGAGAGACUUUGAGGAUUGGAAGUGCUCCAGUAGAAGAAAGUGUACAACAGAGAGUGAUUUGGCAUUCUUCAAGUGUUUCUAAUUGGGCAAGACAGUUGUGCAAGUCCUAGAACAUCCAGAAUAAAAGCUUAACCUAAGAACAACAUCUGGACACUGGGAUGGUUGAGAACAUCUGGACACUGGGAUGGUUGAGAACAUCUGGACACUGGAAUGGUUGAAAACAUCUGGACACUGGGACGGUUGAGAACAUCUGGACACUGGAAUGGUUGAGAACAUCUGGACACUGGGAUGGUUGAGAACAUCUGGACACUGGGAUGGUUGAGAACAUCUGGACACUGGGAUGGUAUACUUUCAUUAUACAUAUCAAUAUGCUCUCAUUUUAUAGGUGCUUCUGGGAAUAUCUGAGUUUGGGGACCAGGUUUAACUCUGAGGGACCCAGAUUCCUGUUAUCAUCUGUUGUCCUCAGAGUGGACUAUCGGACUCAGGUUUUUAAAGUUUGUGGAGAGAUGUUUGCAUCUGUACUUACAAAGCACCCACAGUUCCCUCUUUCUGCAGUGCCACUAUGUGGGCAGUCCUUCUCUUGUAAACACAGAGUAUUAUCUGCUUCUUCAGAAUCAUGAGUCUUCCUUCCUCUCAGCUUUGAGUUUUGAUUUCUGAAAUAUUGAUAGAAUUUCCCUCUGGCAAUAUCUCAUAUUAUUUCUUUUUGGCUAGGUCUCACCUAUGUAGAACAGCUAAAUACAAUAUAAUAUCUCAAAUGAAAAUUGAAGCUUAGCUGGGUGUGGUGGCUCAUGCCUUUAAUCCCAGCACUCGGGAGUCAGAGGCAGGUAGAUUUCUGAGUUCGAGGCCAGCCUGGUCUACAGAGUGAGUUCCAGGACAGCCAGGGCUAUACAGAGAAACCCUGCCUCGAAAAGCCAAAAAAAAAAAAACAUUGAAACUUAUAUAAACAAUGAAUGAUAUAUAAGUAUGUUUAUUCGAAGCAAUGUUGUAGAUAAGUAUUUGAAAUUAAAAUUUAACUUACUUUAGAAAAUUGAAAACAUGUUCACAUACAUACUUAUACAUGGAUGUUCAUAGCUGUUAUUUGUAAAACCCUCAGAGCAUAAAUGAUGAAUGGAUUAACAGUGGUCUAUCAAGAUGAAUGGGAAUACAAUGGCCAUUUGUAUUAGUCAGGGUUCUUCAGAGAAACAGAACAGUAAGAUGUGAUAAGAAAUUUAUUAUUAAGAGUGGCUUACAUGGGCUGGCUAAGUGGUUAAGAGCACUGACUGCUCUUCUAGAGGUCCUGAGUUGAAUUCCCAACAACCACAUGGUGGUUUACAACCAUCUGCAAUGGAAUCUGAUGCCCUCUUCUGGUGUUUCUGAAGACAGCUACAGCAUACCCAUAUACAUAAAUAAAUAAAUCUUUGUUUUUAAGGUGGCUUACAUGAUUCUGGACAGUCGAUAACCCAUAAUUCACUGCCUGGAAUCUGGAGACCCAGAAAAGCUGAUGAUGUAAUUCAACCCAUGUCCAAAGACCCAAGAACUGGGGGAUCUGAUAUUGUUGAUUUUGGUCUGAGUGUAGGAAAAGGUGAAAUGGGGUGCCCUAUCUCCACGGGUGGCCAGAACAAGCAACGAAUCUCUCCUCUUUCUCCCAUCUUGUUUUAGCCAAGCCCUUGGCUUUCCAGACAAUGCAUUUUCCCAUUGGGGAGUGAAAUCUACUUCACUGCAGCCAGAGGCUCAAAUGUGCAUCUCUUCUGGAAAUAGCCACACAGACAUACCCAGAAAGAAUGUUUAACAAAAUAUCUCAGCUUUCCCUGUUCUAGUCAAAUAGACGCAAGCAAAUUAAUAAUGACAUCAUGCAAUGGAACAGUAUCAGUCCCCAAAAGAAUGAUUUGAAGGCUUAUACUGUAGUAUGAGUGACUCUAUAAAAUAUGCUGUGUUAAAAAGGUUAUACCGGAGGGUUAUAUAUUUGAGUCUAUUUGUGUGAAUAAAUAGAUUCUUGGAAGAGAAAGCAGAUUAGUGUUGCCAGGGGCUGGAGGAAGAGAAAAAUGGAGACUGACUGUUAGUAAACACAGGUUUCUUUUGGAGGAGAUAAGAACAUGCCAGAAUUAGAGAGUAGUGAUAGUUACACAACUCUGUGCUUAUAUUGAAAAUUACUGUUCUGUGUGCUUUCAAAAGAUAACUCAUAAAUGUGUUAUAGCUGGAUAAAAACAUACAAUAAAAUUUAACAAUAUUCUGAAUUAUU
ensembl:lincRNA Gm10636 predicted gene 10636